UGCAAGUGUUAUCCGGAAUUAUUGGGCGUAAAGCGUCUGUAGGUUGCCUAACAAGUCUGUUGUUAAAGGUUAAAGCUUAACUUUAAAACUGCAGCAGAAACUGCUAGGCUUGAGUACAGUCGAAGUAGAGGGAAUUUCCAGUGAAGCGGUGAAAUGCGUAGAUAUUGGAAGGAACACCAAUGGCGAAAGCACUCUACUAGACUUUUACUGACACUCAGAGACGAAAGCUAGGGUAGCAAAUGGGAUUAGAUACCCCAGUAGUCCUAGCCGUAAACGAUGGAUACUAAACAUUGCGUGCAUCGAUCCGCGUGGUGUUAUAGCUAACGCGUUAAGUAUCCCGCCUGGGGAGUAUGCUCGCAAGGGUGAAACUCAAAGGAAUUGACGGGGGCCCGCACAAGCGGUGGAGCAUGUGGUUUAAUUUGAUGCAACGCGAAGAACCUUACCAGGGUUUGACAUGGUGUUAAUUCUUUGAAAAAAGAAGUACCGUUCGCGGUAGACACACACAGGUGCUGCAUGGCU
rnacentral:rRNA from 1 species